AUAAUGAUUAAAAGAUUAAAUUACCUUAGGGAUAACAGCGUAAUUUUUUUUGAGAGUUCUAAUCGAAAAAAAAGUUUGCGACCUCGAUGUUGGAUUAAAAUUAAUUUUUGGUGUAGAAGCUAAGAAUUUUAGGUCUGUUCGACCUUUAAAAUUUUACAUGAUCUAAGUUUAAACCGGUGUGAGCCAGGUUGGUUUUUAUCUUUAAAUGAAUAAUAUAUUUUAGUACGAAAGGAUCA
rnacentral:rRNA from 1 species